GAUGAACGCUGGCGGCGUGCCUAAUACAUGCAAGUCGAGCGAACAGACGAGGCGCUUGCUCCUCUGACGUUAGCGGCGGACGGGUGAGUAACACGUGGAUAACCUACCUAUAAGACUGGGAUAACUUCGGGAAACCGGAGCUAAUACCGGAUAAUAUAUUGAACCGCAAGGUUCAAUAGUGAAAGACGGUUUUGCUGUCACUUAUAGAUGGAUCCGCGCCGCAUUAGCUAGUUGGUAAGGUAACGGCUUACCAAGGCGACGAUGCGUAGCCGACCUGAGAGGGUGAUCGGCCACACUGGAACUGAGACACGGUCCAGACUCCUACGGGAGGCAGCAGUAGGGAAUCUUCCGCAAUGGGCGAAAGCCUGACGGAGCAACGCCGCGUGAGUGAUGAAGGUCUUCGGAUCGUAAAACUCUGUUAUUAGGGAAGAACAAAUGUGUAAGUAACUAUGCACGUCUUGACGGUACCUAAUCAGAAAGCCCCGGCUAACUCCGUG
rnacentral:rRNA from 1 species